AGAAACAGCAGCAGUAACGAUCUAGUUAAACUGCCAGCCAUCAUUGCUUGCCAUGAGAGUGCCUUCCUGUUGUAGUGUCCCAAAUCCUUUAACAAAUGCAGUAAAAUACUGAAAUAUGUUUUCUGAGUAGUUUUGAUUACACGCUGAAAAGUCAAGAAAAAGAGAAACUGUGGACGAGUCACUACGUUUGAAACCACUGUCAAUCUUUGCUGCAUGUUGGUCACUCUUUGCAACUAUGUGCCUAGGAGCAGACAUACUCUGCUCUGGAUUCACCCGGGAACAAGAAACACUGGCCAGUUAGAAGAAAAGUGGUAUGCGUCUCAAUUUUCCUAGCUAAUUGUUUUGUUUUGUUUUCAGAAGUAGGAGUCAGUUUGGGGCAAAGUUGCACGGAACAUUUUUUCUCAUUAAAGACAGAGUUGGGACAGGAAAACUUUGGGCUAGAAAGGAGGACAAAGGGGACAUAAGGUAUUUUCUCCUUGAUGAGAUGGACAGGAAGAAUUAAAAAGAAGGGUAAAGGAGAAGUGAGGUAAGAAUCGAAGUGCAAAGGGGCUCAAGAAGGGGAAGAACGCUGCUAGCAGCAGCAGGAGAGAAUGGUCAGUGGCAGCUGGCACGAAGAAAGAAGGAAGAAAGGGGGGAAAGAAUGGAAAUUGGAGGCCAGGCAUGGUGGCUCACCUAGAAAGGAGAAAUUCUUAUACUCUGUGGGUUGAGUAUAUAAAUCACUGUUGCAAUCACUUUGGACAAUUUAGUGAUAGUAAAGAUAAAGACAUAUGACAUGGUUUGCAUGUGUCCCCUCUAAAAUUCAGAUGUUGAAAUUCAAUGUCAUAGUAUUGAGUGGGGGGCCUUUAAGAGGUGAUUAGGUUAUGAGAGCUCCUCCUUGGGAAUGAGACUAAGGCCCUUAUAAAAGAGGUUUCACACAGCAUCAACCCAGGCCCUUCCGUUCUGCCAAGUGAGGAUGUGUGAAGAAAGUCUUCCCCAGACAACCGAACCUGUGAAUGGAUCUUGGAAUUCCCAUUCUCCAGAACUAUGAGAAAUAAAUUUCUUUUCUUUAUAAGCACCCAGUCUAUGGUAUUCUGUUACAGCAGCGCAAAGUGAAUUAAAACAACAUAUUUACAGUAAGGCCCAGCAAUUUUACCUCAGUUCAUAUGCACAAGUAGACAUGUGCAAAAGAUGCAGUGAUUUUUGUAAAGGCAAAACACUAAAAAUCCAAUUACCUGUCAACAAAGCAUGCAUAAAUUGUCAUAUAUUGAUGCAACAGAAUAUCUUAUAGCAGUUAAAGGGAACUAGGGAGCUACGUGGAUCAACAUGGACAAAUCUUGAAAAUAUAGUAUAGAGUUAAAGAUGCAGUUAGCGAGAGGAUUUGUUCAGGAUGACAGCAUUUAUGUACACUUUAAAACACCAAAUGAUAGUACAUAUUCUUAUGAGGACAUAAAGAUAUAGUAAAAGUUUAAAAACACAAACAGGAAGCAUACAGAUGAGCUUCAGGAUGGAGGUUGUAUCUGAGGAGAGGGUGGAAGUGUGAGUUCUGUGUUAGCAUUGUUUUCUUUCUUUUUUUUUUUUCUUCUCUUUUUUUUUGAGACAGAAUCUUGCUUUAUCACCCAGGCUGGAGUGCAGUGUCGUGGUUUCAGCUCACUACAAACUGCACCUCCUGGGUUUAAGUGAUUCUUGUGCCUCAGUCUCCAAGUAGCUGGGUCUACAGGUAUAUGCCACCAUGCCCAGCUAAUUUUUGUAUUUUUAGUAGAGACGGGGUUUCACCAUGUUAGCCAGGCUGAUCUCGAACUCCUGGCCUCAAGCAAUCUGCCCACCUUGGCCUCCCAAAGUGCUGGGAUUACAAGCAUGAGCCACCAUGACUGGUCUGUUUUAUUUCUUUUGAAAAAAUAUGUAAUAUUGCUUCACUUGACUAACCUUUAAAACAAAUCUGUAGCAAAGGUGGGUUGUGUGUAUAUGGGUAUCAGUUAUAUUAGUUUUUGGACUUUUCUGUAUAUUAGAAAUAUUUAACAAGAAAAAACUUUAAUUAAGAAACUUUACAUAGUUUUUUCUUUCUGUUUU
rnacentral:lncRNA from 1 species